ensembl:lncRNA
GCAAAACUGAGCAGAGAAGUUCAAAUACAGAAAUAGAGAUGCAGAAAACAUUGAACUGGGCUCAGAGGCAAUGUGGGAAAACAUAGAGGAAGAAAUUACAGCAUUGUCGGCAUGCUCUGUGAAUUCUGGCUCUUCUUACAGGUCCUUAAGCUCAGUAACAUCACUCAAGUUCAUAGCUAGUGUCAUGCAUGUAACUGUUUGAUUAUCCCCAUUGCAUGGUGACCUACACAUUUUACAUAAAGCAAAUGUAUGCAAACAACACAAGACAGUACAGUAACUUAAAUAUAUUCCAAAAUAUAAACAAAAUAAUAAUUCCAACCACCUUGGCCCUGACCAGAGAGUUACUAAGGAUUUAUGAAUAAAUGCUGUAAAUGCAUCACACAGUGCUGCACUGUGGUCAUUGUUUGUCCCACAAGCUUCAUAUAUGACUGAAAGUAAAACCUCACAUUUGUGCAAUUUUUUGUUGUUUCCAGUCUGAGUACACACCUCUAGCUCAUCCAGAUGGAUAUUCAUUCUGAAUAAAAUAUUCGUAUUUGGUUACAUUCCUAAUAUAUCUAUAUGAAGAGAAUAUUUUAUAUGCACCUGUCUGUGCUAUUUGGUUGAGCUUCCUCGCAGAGCUGUGCCGAGGGGACAUGAAGAUCUGAAGAUGUGACAGGAUGUCUUUUUACACUGUCCAUGAAGGUGAUAGCAUCUAGAGGGGUUUUGCUGCAGCAUCUUUGCAGUUAUUCAGAUAUGUUGCCAAGGUCCUUGCAGAGGACUUUUUGAAAACUGAUAAACUACCACAGAUUAUGACAGAAUAUCAGUCUGGCCAUACUGUUCCAGGUCAUGUGACAUACAGUUGUGAUCAUAAAUUUAUAUACCCCUUGCAGAAUCUGCAAAAUGUUAAUAAUAUUAAAAAAUAAUAAGAUAAUAAUAAAAUCAUCAUAAAACUGCAUUUUGUUUUUUAUUUAGUGCUGUCCUGAAUAAGCUAUUUCACAUAAUAGAUGUUUACGGAUGUGUCCACAAGACACAAUAAUAACACAAAUUUACACAAAUGAACGAGUUGAAAAGUUUACACACCCUUGAUUCUUAAUACUGUGUGUCGUUAUCUGGAUGAUCAUUGACUGUGUUUAUGUUUUGUGAUAGUUGUUCAUGAGUCCCUUGUUUGUCCUGAACAGUUAAACUGCCUACUGUUAUUCAGAAAAAUCCUCCAGGUCCUGUAAAUUCUUUGCUUUUCCAGCAUUUUCUGCAUACUGUAUUUGACCCAUUUCCAGUGGCUAUAUGAUGUUCAGAUGCAUCUAUUCACACUGAGGACAACCGAGGGACUCGUACACGACUAUUACAAAAGCUGCAAACAUUCACUGAUGCUCCAGAAGCCAACACGAUACAUUAAGAGCCAGGGGGGUGUAAACUUUUGAACAGGACGAUCUUUGUAAAUUGUUAUUAUUUUGUCUUCUGCGAAAUAUGUAUAAAUCUUAUGUAGCUUCUGAAGGACAGUACUAAAUGAAAAAAAAACAACAACCAACUUUAAAAAAAAAAAAAAAAAAAAAAAGAAGAAAUUACACCAAUCACCCUGUUCAAAAGUUUAAAAUCUCUAAGACUAAAAUUGCACUGAAUCCCUAACAGGAAAAUUGGACAUGAUUAACAUUUCUGUUUCAAAAUACAAUAUGCUGCAGCUUUCAAAAUACACAUCCUUAAAGGAAUUUGUAUAUAAGCCACAUUAUGGAAAUAACAUUACGUGUUACAAUUGGCUAAGAGUUAAGAUGAAGAUCAUACUCUGAAAGACCCAACAAGAUCUUUAGGAAAUAUGACAGAAUUACUCAAAAUCACUGCUGCUUUACAGGCAAAAGGGAGAAUAACAGGGUUAAUGUAGCUGGGAGUGUGAUUGUACAGCCUCUCACCCUACCUCGUCAAUGACACAUUGAGGCUGUGGUAAACAGCAUUUUGCAAGCCCAGACUGAAACUGCUUUGAAAUAGGCAAUGCUUCUUUGAAUUGUACUCUUAGGAGGCUUCCAAAAUAUGCAGUCAGUCUAAAAUGAUAGGACAAGUGACAUUUAUUUUCCUCAUGGUUCCAAGCCAAUAGCUAAUUCUACCCAUUGGUGAAGUCUAUCCCUUCAUCUGUGAGGGUGACAGCUAACAAGCACUUAAUCCAAAACAUGUGAAACCAGCCACUGCAUCAGACCAAAUGAUUCAGGGACUGAUGCUCUUGCAACGUCAUAGAACAGCUGAAUGCUGCCUACUUCUGUAUGCAUGGGCUCAGAGACACUCCCAAAUUGGCUAGCAGCACUUUGAUUGAAAAGAAAGCCAUCCUUGACGCCAACAGAAUGGGCAAGAUGUACUUUUAUUUACUUCCCAUGACAGAUGGUAUUGCUGGCAUUCAGUUUUUUCAUAUACUGGCUAAAUGGUGAACACAUAGACAAGUGAUAUUUAUGACAUUUAAGUUAUUAUUCAUUACCAUGUUUGGACACACUUGAUAUAAUUUUAUUGUCUUAAAUACAUUUUGAUAAAGGCUUAUAGCUUAUGUCAGUAGUGUACUUUACUGCACUUUAUUGCGUUAUGUAUACAUUUAUUCCUGAGUUGAAAUGUAUUUUUACUUAAACAUUAAAUGGUAUUCCUCAAAAAGGAGGCGUUUCUAUAACAAUUGUUAUUUGAACGUUAUAUAAAACUCCUCAUAAACUAAUUAAAAACAAAUUUAAUUAUUAAUAUUGCAAAAUUGUCUGUAAGGAAACAUUCAUUUGGCAUAUUUGGAAGGAGUCUCCAGUGUCAGUGCUUUCUAACAGUUAGAGGUAAAGAUGUAACUUUACGUUUUCUGACAUAGGAAAGAACAGGGAGCUUUACAGUUUCUCUGUAGCUGUUUAAAAAUAUAUAUUUUCAAGAAAUAUUAAAAAAUGCUAGGAAUGCUGAUGGAAUGAAUGUUCAUAGAUGUUAUAAUGUAAGUAAUAAUAGGACCUAACUUGUUUUACUGACAUUCCACAACAAUAAACAUAACUAGAAAAGGACUUUUUAAAAAAUUAUGUCAUUUUUCAAUAAAUAAAACAUGGUUAGUUUUGGCAAAUUGCUAUGAUCUAAGAGAAAUAAAACAGGUAAUGAAGAGAUGUUAUUGGAAAAUAAAUCAGUCUGGGCGUGACUUGGUACCGGGAUGCAUCAGAACACCCUGUGGUGGAUUAUUUUCCUGUAAUAGCCAUGUUGUAUUCCUUACCUGUUCAUGCUUUCAUUGUUAUUCUUAAAUAGUAGAACAUUUCUCAGAAGCAGUAAUAAUAAAACAGAUGUGUCCAAACUUUUUUUAUUAUUAUUAUCAGGAAACAGCAAAUUUAGUGGCAAAUUCUGUGAUGAAUUACUCUUUAGGUGAACAUAAACUCAAUUAAUUAGCUUUAACAUUAUUAUUAAACAAUUAUAUUUGAAAAAUGUUGUUUGUUCAUAUAUAAUAUUACAGCAUUGUUUUUAGAUGAAUUAACAGGAAUAAUUAACCAUUAUAAAAUGAAUUAGACCAACAGAGCUACAAAUGCACCAGUGGCUCAGUAACUUUUCUGAAAUAACUGAAAGUUGCAUUUACCCAGUUUUGUGAGAUUUCAGAUUCACUUCAUUGUUACGCAUGUUGGAGAGAAACUUCAGGCUGAGCCCCUCUCUUGAAACCUCUGCAAAGAGAGAAACAUUUUUUCCCAGUUAUUUUUGUUGUUCAUUUAUCAUCACCAGCAUUUCCAUUUUAGAACACAACUCUGGUCAUCAUUAGCAACAUCACUAUAUCAUGUCUGUACAGGAAUCGGCAUCAAACUUUGUACCCCAGAAUAAACCACAAACUACAAACAUGGACUCAUUGGACUGUGAAACUCACAAAGCACACUCAAUGUCAUGUUCUUUUUCACCAGAUUACCGAUUACACACACCUGGACGCUAUCACUACUCACCUCCAUAUAAGUACUACCUCUAUAUAAGUACACUCCAAACUUAUACUGCGAAGUAUCUGUUCAACUCUGUUUCACAACUGCCAUACCACUGCUUGAUUGAUUGCUGUGUUGAUUCUGGAUUGUUUACCUUGAUUGUGAUUGCUGCCUUGAUCUCUUAUAUCCUGAUUGUUCAUAACCUGACCAUGUGCCUGUCUCUCAACAUUGAAUACACCUAGUGUUUUGUACUUGAUUUUGCUAGAUUUUGAAUAAAAAUUCAGUCUAAAGCAAUUGUCACCAUCUCUGCUGCAUGACACACUGCUAUCACCA